ACUAUAACGGUCCUAAGGUAGCGAAAUUCCUUGUCGGGUAAGUUCCGACCUGCACGAAUGGCAUAAUGAUGGCGGCGCUGUCUCCCAGCAGAGGCUCAGUGAAAUCGAAAUCGCUGUGAAGAUGCAGUGUACCCGCGGCUAGACGGAAAGACCCCGUGAACCUUUACUGCAGCUUGACACUGAACUUUGACCUUACUUGUGUAGGAUAGGUGGGAGGCUUUGAAGCUGGAACGCUAGUUCCAGUGGAGCCGUCCUUGAAAUACCACCCUGGUAAUGUUGAGGUUCUAACUCUGUCCCGUGAUCCGGGACGAGGACCGUGUCUGGUGGGUAGUUUGACUGGGGCGGUCUCCUCCUAAAGAGUAACGGAGGAGUACGAAGGUGCGCUCAGCGUGGUCGGAAAUCACGCGUAGAGUAUAAAGGCAAAGCGCGCUUAACUGCGAGACCCACAAGUCGAGCAGGUACGAAAGUAGGUCUUAGUGAUCCGGUGGUUCUGUAUGGAAGGGCCAUCGCUCAACGGAUAAAAGGUACUCUGGGGAUAACAGGCUGAUACCGCCAAGAGUUCAUAUCGACGGCGGUGUUUGGCACCUCGAUGUCGGCUCAUCUCAUCCUGGGGCUGAAGCAGGUCCCAAGGGUAUGGCUGUUCGCCAUUUAAAGAGGUACGCGAGCUGGGUUUAGAACGUCGUGAGACAGUUCGGUCCCUAUCUACCGUGGGCGCUGGAAAUUUGAGAGGAUCUGCUCCUAGUACGAGAGGACCAGAGUGGACGAACCUCUGGUGUACCGGUUGUGACGCCAGUCGCAUCGCCGGGUAGCUAUGUUCGGAAGGGAUAACGCUGAAAGCAUCUAAGCGGGAAGCCUACCUCAAGAUAAGAUUUCCCUAGGACUUUAUGUCCUCUAAAGAGCCGUUCGAGACUAGGACGUUGAUAGGUUGGAUGUGGAAGCAUAGUGAUAUGUGAAGCUGACCAAUACUAAUUGCUCGUGAGGCUUGACUAU
rnacentral:rRNA from 1 species